UCAUUUGUCAUCUAAUAUUGCACACCAAAAGAUAGGAUUCUACUCUUAUCGUAUGUUCUUAUUCUGCUUUCUUAUCUUACCAUAUUUUUUUUUCUAAUCAUAUACUGCAAACCAAAUCAAACAUGCCCGUAACAGAAAACUCUUGAAUAAGAGCUUUAUCACAAUUUAUAAAAAUUUAACUUCAGUAAUUAGUAAUCGCUGCAUGAUUCGGGAUCAAGCACAGAGAAGCAUAAAUCCAGUCCCUUAAAUUCAAAGUUAGAAACCAACCCAUGAACUAACUAGUUUAAAUACAUAAUUCAUAGACUCAUAGACACUGCAAGAAUUUAAACCUAAACAAAUGUUAAUAUUUAGUUCUACUAUUGAAUUAACAAAACACAAUAUUGAUGAGAAUGUCGCUUCACAGAAUGUCUCUGAUUCAGUCACCACCUUCCACGUCUCUUUCAGAACUUAAAAGCAAGCAUCAAGCAUGCAACAGCAGCAGAGUGCAGCCAAACUGCAGAACAAGACAAUAAUAUCAGCCUGUGUCAUUUUUCU
rnacentral:lncRNA from 1 species